rnacentral:rRNA from 1 species
UACGUAGGGUGCAAGCGUUGUCCGGAAUUAUUGGGCGUAAAGAGCUCGUAGGCGGUCCGUCACGUCGGGCGUGAAAACCCAGGGCUUAACCCUGGGCUGGCUUCCGAUACGGGCAGACUAGAGGUAUGCAGGGGAGAACGGAAUUCCUGGUGUAGCGGUGAAAUGCGCAGAUAUCAGGAGGAACACCGGUGGCGAAGGCAGCCCCCUGGGAUAACACUGACGCUCAUGCACGAAAGCGUGGGGAGCAAACAGG